UUCCUCCCUUCCUUCGUUACAAGUCUUCACUAUUUUCUCUGUGGUUGGAAGCUCACUUCAUUAUUCUCUUCUACUGUCAAGCAGGCUUCCUCCCUUCCCUUCCUUUCAAGUCCUCGCCCUCUCUCUCUCUCUCUCUCUCUUUGUGUGUUUCAAGUUAAUUUGCUUCCAGGCUUCCUCCCUCCUCUCUCUCUCUCUCUCUCUCUCUGUUUAGAGUUAAUUUGCUUCUAGGCUUCCUCCCUUCCCUUCCUUGCAAGUACACCUCUCUCUCUCUCUCUCUGUUUCAAGUUAAUUUGCUUCCAGGUACUUCUCAUUUCCUUUAUCUCUUGUAAUUUUCUCAAACUCUAUAUUUGAAUUAUGUAUUUAAAUUAUGAAUUUAGAUAGAGAUUUGAAAAUAAAAAGAGAAAUAAAGAAAAAUUUUAACUUAUAUUUCAUUCACAUUUAUCUCAUUUUUUAAUUUUUUUUCUUAAAACUCCUACUUAAAUUUAUAAUCCAAACACAACUUAAAUAUAUGCUUGUAUAAUGUUUGAUUCAUUUUAGAAAAUUAACAUGCAUACAUAUAAAUGCUCGGAUUAGCUUCUCUCUCCUAUUUUAUUUUAUUUAUUAUUAUCAUAAUAUAUCUCAAUAUAUAGUGAGGUGUAUAUAUUAUACACUUGGUGUAUAAUUUUAUACAGUGUCGUUGCAUUUUUUAUGGGUGCUCAAUUUUCCGUACUUCAUAAUUUAUUGUUGUUGUUGAAUGUUGUGUUUAUGAUUUUUGGUUGGUUAGAUAUGUGUGUCCACUCUGUCGACACCAGUUUGUAGUAGCACAGAUGUGAGAAAGCAAUUUUCCUCAAAACAAUCAUAUAUUUUUGUGUUGGAGAUAGAAAACGGUAAGUUGGUACUGACCAUUUGAAUAAGAAUUUAAAAAGACAAAAUAAAAAUAUGAAUAAAAUAUAUUUUUUAAUUUCUUUUUAAAUAUUUUAAUCAUUUUUUAAUUUUUAGAUCCAUUUAAAAUACAC